rnacentral:rRNA from 1 species
ACGUAGGUGGCAAGCGUUAUCCGGAUUUACUGGGUGUAAAGGGCGUGUAGGCGGUUUUGUAAGUCGGAUGUGAAAUUCCCAGGCUUAACUUGGGAGCUGCAUUCGAAACUGCAAAACUUGAGUAUUGGAGAGGUAAGUGGAAUUCCUAGUGUAGCGGUAAAAUGCGUAGAUAUUAGGAGGAACAUCAGUGGCGAAGGCGGCUAUCCGGACAAUAACUGACGCUGAGGCGCGAAAGCGUGGGGAGCAAACAG